GGGUCCGGACACACUGAGGAUUGACAGACAGUUGUCUUUCCCUCCCUUCGGGGUGGGAUUACAAAAGAUAACAGAUCUUUCAUGAUCAUGUGAUGGGUGGUGCAUGGCCGUUCUUAGUUCGUGGAGUGAUCUGUCUGCUUAAUUGCGUUUCAAAUUUUAUAUUUGUUAACAUGCGAGUCUUCAAUGACGGCCACUCCACCUUAUAGACAUUAUAUGAUAUGCACAUUUGUGUAUUUGAUUAUAACUUGUCUGGAGUCUGGCUCGAUUUUUUUGACUCAAUUGAACGCAACGGACGUGAUUGCAAGUCCUUGUUGAACAAAUUAUAUAUAUACUACUUCAUCAUUAGUAUAUAUAGUUCGCUUCUCAUGUCGUAGCAGUCAAACGGGCGGGCGUCUUAAUUGGCGCGGUCACGAGGCUUAAUAUGCUGCGGCUGGGAAAACUUGGGCGACCGCUGUAAUACUUCUCUCUUAAACCAGAGGAAGAUUGCGGCAAUAACAGGUCUGUGAUGCCCUCA
rnacentral:rRNA from 1 species